UAUAAUCUCCCCCUUUUUGAUGAUGACAAAACAACUUAAAUUAGCAGAUGAAACAUGAAUAAAAUUAGAUCAGAUAGACAGAAGCUCCCCCUGAGAUAAUGCUAGGGAGUUCAGAAGUUCUUACCAGAGUUUCUUAAGUAAAGAGGUUUCUGAAGUUCUCUGCAAUUUCUUAAGUCCAAGUUAGAUAAUUUUAUUUAUAUAAAAAAUAUGUUGCAGAAUGCUUAAGGUUUUAGACAAUAUUUUCAUCAGAGCUAAUAAUUACU
rnacentral:lncRNA from 1 species